UUUAUAAAGCAGUCUUACAGCUGCAGGUCGUUUUUAUAAAGCAGUCUUGUUGUGUGUGAGAGUAUGUGUUGUGUAAAAAAUUCGUAUUUUAAACCAAUAUUUGUUAUAUAGAUUAACGUAAAAAAAUGACAUUUAACUUUGACAAAUGCCACGGCAUUACUUUUAAAAUGUAAGUUUGUAGUGUAAUUCAUAUUAAAGUGAUAUUGGAGUGAAAAAGAAGAUGAGGAUCGGUUUAACAAAAAAAGGCUGCAGGCAUCCAACAUCGAGUGGAUAGCAGAGUGAUUGACAAAGUCGGAGAACUAAUCGAUGACCGUGUUUGCUCCAUUAUGGAAAUACAAGGUCAUUUAAGAAUAUUUGUUGUUCAUGAACUUUUCAAGAAUACAUUGCCUCCAGCAUCAAGUAACAGAAGAUUUUUUCCAACAAAAAAAGACAUUAACAAUCAUUAUUAUAAUGCAUACACAAAACGAAAAAUGUCGAAAAUUGACCAAGCAAAUGUGCAAUUACUGGUAGAUGAGUGGUGCCACAAGUUACCUGAAGAUAACAUUCUCUUCAGACCCUAUAUUGCCAGUAUUCGUUCCAAACAAUUAAUUGAAGACAUUGAUGGGGAUGAUAUCACUGCAGUG